rnacentral:tRNA from 1 species
GUCCAGGUGGCGGAAUUGGUAGACGCGCUACUUUGAGGGGGUAGUGCCCGAUUGGGCGUGUGAGUUCGACUCUCAUCUUGGACA